GCGACCCCAGGAUGGGCGGGUU
rnacentral:rRNA from 4 species